AUGUCGACUUCAUGUGAGUGUGGGCUUUGUGGCGCACCAGAUUCUUGCUGCCAUUCUAUGCUGGAAUGCUCGAUGUCACGGUGCGUUUGGGCCAUGGUGGAUGGAGAACUGGCAAAGCAUAUGUGUGCGACGACUGAACCUAAUGCGAAACAGCGGUUGUUUGCUAUGAUUGACUCUUUAUCUCAUGGUGCUUUCAUCCGCCUAGCUGUCACUCUCUAGGCCAUUUGGUGGGCAAGGAGGAAGGGGAAGAGGAAGCAUGUCGCCCCCAGACCAUUGGUUAUCAAGCCAAAGGCGCCCCCUCCGGGAUACAUGAAAAUCCAAGUUGAUGCAGCAAUCUCCAAGGUGCACAAUAGGGGAGCAGCAGCGACGGUGUGUCGAGAUGGCAAGGGAAACUUCCUUGGCAGCUCAGUGUUGGUUAUCAAUGGCAUCUCUGAUGUGGCCACGUUGGAAACACUAGCAUGAAGGGAAGGCCUAGCACUUGCGACAGACCUCUUUCUCUAGAAUAUGGUUAUCACGUCCGACUCAAAGCAAGCCAUAAACGAUAUAUAUAGAGGAAGCAGCGCAAGAUACAGAGCUAUUGUUUCUGAAAUAAACCUUAGGGCUUUACAGUUUAAUUGUAAUUUUAUGUUUGAAAGUAGAGCGGCGAAUCAUGACGCCGAUAGACUAGCCAAGUUUGCACAUUCUUUGGAUCAAGGGAAACAUGUGUGGAUGUCGGUCCCGCAUGAUCUAGUUUGUAUCCCACCAUUUAUGGAAUUUGCAUGA
rnacentral:rRNA from 1 species